CAUAUUGCACUGGAUCGUUGGG
rnacentral:siRNA from 1 species